ensembl:snRNA U6 U6 spliceosomal RNA
GUGCUCACUUCGGCAGCACAUAUGCUAAAGUUGGAACGAUACAGAGAAGAUUAGCGUGGCCCCUGCACAAGGAUGACACGCAAAUUCGUGAAGCAUUCCAUAUUUUU